rnacentral:tRNA from 1 species
UAAUAAGAAGUAAAUUCUUACAUUUAGUUUCGACCUAAAAAUUUGUCCAAAGACCUUAUUUU